rnacentral:rRNA from 1 species
GCGGAGGAAAAGAAAAUAACAAUGAUUCCUCUAGUAACUGCGAGUGAAGAGGGAAAAGCUCAAAUUUUAAAUCUGUUAGGUUUACCUAACCGAGUUGUAAUUUGAAGAAGCGUUUUCUGCGAAUUUGGUUAGUCCAAAUCCUUUGGAAUAAGGUAUCAUGGAGGGUGAGAAUCCCGUUCGGUUAACCAAAGCGCUUUACGAUACGCUUUCAAAGAGUCAAGUUGUUUGGGAUUGCAGCUUAAAAUGGGAGGUAAAUUUCUCCUAAGGCUAAAUAUUGGCGAGAGACCGAUAGCGAACAAGUACCGUGAGGGAAAGAUGAAAAGAACUUUGAAAAGAGAGUUAAACAGUACGUGAAAUUGUUGAAAGGGAAACGAUUAAAGCCAGUCGUACCUACGAGUGAUCAACCUACUCGAGUGCGAUUUUGUGGGUAUGUUUGAGCUUAAAAACCUUCAUGCUUACAAAUUGGUGCUCUUUGGGCGUACUUUCUCGUAUGGUAGGUUAACAUCAAUUUCGAUCGUUAUAAAAUGACUGGAGGAAUGUAGCUUCGAUUUCGGUUGAAGUGUUAUAGCCUUUGGUAGAUGUAAUGAUUGGGAUUGAGGAUUGCAACGGAUACCCUCUGGGCUAUUCGUCUGAUCUCUGGAAGUUACCUUGGUGUCGAAAGCGUGCUUACGAUAUUAAGGUUGACGGCCAAUAGGUUAGAACGUGAUUAAAUUCGUUAAGGAUGUUGACGUAAUGGCUUUAAACGACCCGUCUUGA